UGCACCAGACUGAUUCUGGCAAGCCGUCUGUCGUCUGGAUAUGCACUGUUGUUCGUUAUGGUCAGCAAUCUUCUUCGUUCGUCCUUUCGUUUUCCUGACCACGAUGAUGACAAGCAGCUCUCAUGCUCAGGAUUCUGAAAGCUGGAGCAGCUCUGCUUACCUCGACCACUGAACUUACAAC